CUGCUAUGCUGACUAGCAUUAGACCUUUCUGUCAGAUUGGUCUUUUCAUCUUUGUGGUGCUUUUUCUUGGCACCAGUUUUAUGUUUUGUCAAGGCCAAAAACGUCUCGUUAUUGUGAAAAGCCACUGUUAAACAAUCACAUAGCCUUCAUUGUGUUCUCCUUCAUAGCAACAGGCAAAGACCACCACAGAAUUAUACAUAUUUUCUUUGGUAGUCUCUUGGGCCUGCAUACUCUCAACAGCUUUCCUUCUGGUUAGGAGGUCUUUGCCUGAUCCACAGAAUGUUUCCUCAUUGGUUAAGAGAUACGUGCCUCUGGGGUUGAAAAUGAGCCACUGCUGCAGUAUGGCCUUCUACUGACACUCAAUACAGCUGGUCUGACAAUUUUUUGUAAAGGGCCUGAGCACUGUAAAGGUCGUGACCAAAUGGCUUCUCCAGUACCACCC